rnacentral:rRNA from 1 species
CAGUAGCCGCGGGAAUACGAAGGGUGCAGGCGUUAAUCGGAAUUACUGGGCGUAAAGCGUGCGUAGGCGGUUUGUUAAGUCUGUUGUGAAAUCCCCGGGCUCAACCUGGGAAUGGCAAUGGAUACUGGCAAGCUAGAGUGUGUCAGAGGAUGGUGGAAUUCCCGGUGUAGCGGUGAAAUGCGUAGAUAUGCGGAGGAACACCGAUGGCGAAGGCAGCCCCCUGGGCCAACACUGACGCUCAUGCACGAAAGCGUGGGAGCAAACAGGAUUAGAUACCCGGUAGUCCCUGUCUCUUAUACUC